rnacentral:lncRNA from 7 species
GGUGGCAGCAGAGAGCUGCAGCGCUCCUGAGUGCUGUAACAACUGCACGGAGAGAUGUGCGGGUCUUCACGGGAACAGCCAGGAACCGAAAGCUGCAUUUCCCGGGAUGCCCUGGAACCCCACUUUGCUGACUGGUAAUUGUCUGCCCAGCAGGUGGCAGCAGAGAGCUGCAGCGCUCCUGAGUGCUGUAACCACUGCACGGAGAGAUGUGCGGGUCUUCACGGGAACAGCAAGGAACCGAAAGCUGCAUUUCCCGGGAUGCCCUGGAACCCCACUUUGCUGACUGGUAAUUGUCUGCCCAGCAGGCAGGUCUUCAAUGAAGAUAUUGGACAGAACAGGCCUGAAGAGCACUCAGGAUGGCAUACCAGCUGUUUUUAACACGAUGGAGCAGCACUCAUUAGGCCAGGCGGUUCAGCUACUUCUUCAUCUAGCAAGCAAUGUACCCGUCCAAGUAGCCGGCUGCAAUCUUUGAGAGAAUUUCAAGGGAUAGCACAUCAAAGGCUUUGCCUCACUCAUGGGGUUGGGUCACUGCUUUGAGUGUGCUAGCGUGGCUGACCAUAAUCCUGUAACUGACAUCCUGUAGCUGGACAGAGACCAUUUGCACUCCAUCCAGGCUGUUUGAGACUCACGGCCAUGCUGAGAGUCACACUGAUUUCAGCGUGUGCAGUCAUUUUGCAUCAACCCCGUAACCAACGCCCGAGGCCAUCGGAGCCCAUUUGCGCUCCUUCCCGGCCAGUCUGAGACUCGCGCCCCUUUGUGGCCAUUCUGAGAGUUGCGCCGAUUUUGGCAGGUGCAGUCAAUUGAUCUUGCCCAAAUUGGCUUUAGCUUUGCAAUCAAUUGAUCCCAACCCCGUAACCAACGCCUGAGGCCAUCGGAGCCCAUUUUUGCUUUUUCCUGGCUUGUCUGAGGCUUGCAUUUACUUCAGGUGGGCUGAGAUCUGCUCUACUGUUGAGGUGGGUUGCAGUACAAAAUAUUAGUGUAAAUGUAAUGUUAUUUAUUGGAUGUGGAGGCUUUGUGACCUUUGUCUUGUGAGUCUGACAUAUAACACAUAUGUAAACCAUACCUUAAAAUGUAUGGAGUACGUGGGUGCUGCGUCUGUAAACGGUGUCUUGGAAUUGUAUGGAAUCAGUGUACCAUGUUUUGUUUGUCAACAUGUAGGCAUUGCUGUAGUGUGCAUACAAUUGUAUGAGUCACAUCUUGAGGAAACAGUGCUGUAAUAAACAAAUACUUGUGCAAU